GNAAUUAUUGGGCGUAAAGCGCGCGCAGGCGGAUCAGUCAGUCUNUCUUAAAAGUUCGGGGCUUAACCCCGUGAUGGGAUGGAAACUGCUGAUCUAGAGUAUNGGAGAGGAAAGUGGAAUUCNUAGUGUAGCGGUGAAAAGCGUAGAUAUUAGGAAGAACACCAGUGGCGAAGGCGACUUUCUGGACGAAAACUGACGCUGAGGCGCGAAAGCCAGGGGAGCGAACGGGAUUAGAUACCCCGGUAGUCCCGGCCGUAAACGAUGGGUACUAGGUGUAGGAGGUAUCGACCCCUUCUGUGCCGGAGUUAACGCAAUAAGUACCCCGCCUGGGGAGUACGACCGCAAGGUUGAAACUCAAAGGAAUUGACGGGGGCCCGCACAAGCGGUGGAGUAUGUGGUUUAAUUCGACGCAACGCGAAGAACCUUACCAGGUCUUGACAUUGAUGGACAGAACCAGAGAUGGUUCCUCUUCUUCGGAAGCCAGAAAACUGGUGGUGCACGGUUGUCGUCAGCUCGUGUCGUGAGAUGUUGGGUUAAGUCCCGCAACGAGCGCAACCCCUAUCUUAUGUUGCCAGCACGUAAAGGUGGGAACUCAUGAGAGACUGCCGCAGACAAUGCGGAGGAAGGCGGGGAUGACGUCAAAUCAUCAUGCCCCUUAUGACCUGGGCUACACACGUACUACAAUGGGAGUUAAUAGACGGAAGCGAGAUCGCGAGAUGGAGCAAACCCGAGAAACACUCUCUCAGUUCGGAUUGUAGGCUGCAACUCGCCUACGUGAAGUCGGAAUCGCUAGUAAUCGCAGGUCAGCAUACUGCGGUGAAUACGUUCCCGGGCCUUGUACACAC
rnacentral:rRNA from 1 species